UUUUGUCAUAAGGCUGUCUGUGAACCUUGCUUACAAAUUAGAAUCAAAUCUGUUUUAUUUUAAUUUUUUUUCCAACUAUCUUCUAAACCAGAAGUAAUGAAAGUAAUCUUAUGUGGUCUGUUUUCCUGGCACUUUAACAGAAGGCUAGAAAUAGCAGAAAUCUGAGAAGAAUCUUUUUCAUAAGUACUUUCUAUCUUCCAGGAGUCAGAGUCAUGGAUUAGUAUCCCAUUGAGCUAGGCACGAGGCCUGUUUUGGAGAAUGAGGCUGCUCCUACCACACUGAUUAAAAUGUGACAGUUAAAAGUCAGACUAACAGACGAAGCUUGGGAAGAAUCCAUCACACCCCUGCCCAGGUCUGCAGCUUGGCAUAGAUCACCUCAGGAUGACUGAAAAAACCCUUCACAGCAGCUUCACUGCUCUGACCUCUGCUGUCCUACUGUUAUUUAAAGGAACUGUUUGAUGACCUGUGGCAAGUGGAGUAGAUGUUCUACGCACUGUUUGCGAUUAAACAUCUAAUUCAUAGUAGCCCACAGUGUGAGGAACAGCUCACAGAUGGUUCCAGAUGGUCCUUUCCAGUUCUGUGUCUUAUUAUGGUUGAUGGGUACCAACAGCAAAAGGGCAUUUACUCACCAACCUUCUUUGGGAGUGAAUCAGGAAUGAGUACUGGGGCAAGGUGCUUGACUUCAGACCAGACCCUAUAAGGACCUAUCUGUGUGGCUCAACAACUUACCUACAGAAGUCUAGGUGCUGUUACAGUGAAUAAAAUUUGGCAAAGUGGAGGCACCUGAAGUUCCUAAUUAUUUUUAAUUUAUUUUGUGAUUUCAUUUACUCUUCAGUAGGUGUGGGCAAAAAUAUAUGCAGUUUCUCUAGGUAAGUUUGUAUCUUCCAUCUUUAUACCAUCAGAUUUAGAGUACACUGAUAAAAAAAUAUUUUCUUAACUUUAAAGAGAGUUUGAAUCCCUUCACUAUUCCUUGAUCCCUCCUAAAUGUUCCUUUUCGUAGAUGUUAUUUGCACUUUUCAAAUUUAUUACUAAAAAUACAUGUGCCCAUACACGUACACCUGCACCUCUAAUUAUUGUUUGCACUUAUUAUUGAUUAUAUUGAUUAUAUUGAUCUAAUUAUUGAUUACACUUACGGGCUAUGUGUUUUUAGGUGACCUGGUAAAAACACGCACUGUAAAAUAUAGUUUUCACAUGUAACAUUGAUAACAUAUCCAUUUCAACACCAUUUUCAAACACAUCUUACAGAAGUAUGUUUAAAUUCUACACAAUUUAAAAGGUAGAUGACUGCUUUCCUCUAAAGAAUAUAUUAUUCUGUGGGUAGGUGAGCCACUUGCUCUUAAUUUCUUAUCACAAAUCAUUCUUUUGUCUCUUGAUAGUUACUUUGUUUUUUUUCUAGAACACUUCCAUCAAGUUAACUGCAAUGAGGUUUCAGAACUACAGUAAUUCAGGAGAUGUCAAAAGCCACAUGAGCAUCUGUGUCCUGAUCUUACAAGGCACUAAGCGCCCUGAGGACAAUCCAGAAAACCCAUUUAUCUGUACACACAGCCCUGUAUCAUUUGCAGCCCAUGACUGUAGCUCUGACUCCAGUGAAAUCAAAGUCAGAUCUUCCUUUAGUGCUCCGUAAUGCUGGGGCUUCACUCCGCCAACCUUUAAUCAAUGCUUUGCAGCUGGGAAGAGGGAUCCUUAUCUACAGUGGCUUGGUGACAUUACACCACAGGGUGGUGCCCCAGUGGUGAACCUUCUCAAGAACCUAGCACACAUUUGGGGCCAAGAGCAUGGCUCUAUCUUGUAUCUUCCCAGACACAUAAGUAGACAUCGUCAAGCCAGCUUACUGGGUUGGCCCUGCCUCAGAAAUGUUCUCAGUGACUUUUCCAGGCACUAGCUAUAGGAAGCCAUCAAGAUGCUAAUUUAGGACUCAGAACACCAAGUAUUGGUAGGUACCGAGUAUACUCUAGGUACUGGCCGUUCCCAUGGGAUGUUUUCUUUUUACAAAGAAAAGCAGGGAGAAAACAGCGGUGGGGAUGCUGCAAAGGAGAGCAGCUGAGUAUGCCUGAGUCCUGCCUGAGUGUGUGAAAACAAGGAUGGGCUCACCCCAGCCUCUACGUUCACAGAAGGGGUGACUAAGCAAGGACUCCACCCUAUUUCAGAAAGGCUGUGAUUUUCAAUUCCUUUCAAGAGUACCCGUGUCUGUGGUUCAGACAUUCUUCUGCUGAAACACUGGUCCUUGUUCCAUCACAUUGUCCUGGUGGGGGAGUUAAGUUUGAAGUGUGGAACUGCUCCCCUGAAAUCCCAGCUGAAGUUCCCAGGAGUGUGUGUGAGCCUCAGGCAGCAUGGCAGGGCUGGAUGCCCUGCAGGGUUUCACCUCUCCAGAGAGGGGUCAGAGGUGCCCCAGGGCCAUGAGAAGCACAAGGAGAGGCCAUUUGCCUCGGAAAUGGCUGGGUUGGAAGCAGGUGGGACACCAUGGGUGGAGCCCACUCACAGCAGACUGGUGACCUUACACGAUGGGACCGAGCCAGGUUGUGACAGAUGGUAUCCCUGGAUCUGAGACUGGAUCCUGGCUCUUACUGUUUAGUUAAUUAAUUGGGAGGAACAUACAAAUUAACUUGGUAAAUUUUGAAUACAGUUUAAACGCCUCUGGUUUUGCAGAUAGCUUGAAUCUGAUGAUGAGUACAAUGUAAGUUGCUGGUCAAUUUUAGUGUUUUUCUCCUGGCUAUUAUCAGUUGAUUUGCAGAGAUAAUUCUGGAAGAAUGCUACUAAAAACCCUAUAAUGAAGCUGGUGAGGUUUAUUAGAUAGGCAGUACUAAUGGGAUAGAGAUAUUACUGGCACUGAUAUGUGCCUCAGCAAGUCCCUGGAGUAAAACUGUCUUGGUGGAGUGCAUUUUUCCAAAGCAAACAUAAUCUCUAAAGUGCCGUAUCUUAUAUCAGGUAGGCUGGAAGUCUGGUUUCUGAAGCUGCCGCCUGAAAUAUUUUACACUGUUAAGACAGAAAGAAAAAGAGACAGAAAUACCCCUAUACCCACCCUGCUGAUAGAUUUCCCUGUGACAAUGGGAGAAAUGGCAAUCUGGGUUUAUCGCUGUGCAGUGGGUGCAGGCUGCCUCUCAGGAAGGGCUGUGCCUGUCAGAUGUGAAGUGGCAUUUUGUGGAGCUGUAGCCACGCAGGGAAACAGGGAUAGCAGGGCAGGGUUGAGCUUUAGCCGUGAAGCCUCUUCGUGCAGGCACAAGCUUGCAGGCAGUCAAUUGUCCCAGCUAAACCUCCAGAGGAAUUGCCUCCCCUUUGGUGAGCUUCGAGAUACUAUUGACACUCUAAAGUAUUUCUUUUUUAUCUCAGCAGUGCAGCAAAAGGAGCUGCCACAGCCCACUCUCAGGGCAAAAGCCCCAUCCUCUUCUGUCACUUCUUUUAAGAUGUGGGUGAUGCUUCUGCUCCAAGAUAGUCCAUUUACCUCCACAGUGGCUUUUUCCAGCAGGUUUCCAGGAAUGAGAACAGCUGGAGAAACUGAAUGUUAUGCUUCAUUGAUGGGGGAAAUUCUCUGUACUGCAAUAUUAGUACUCACUGCCUGUUGUGGUCACCAAGCACUGUCAUCAGCAAGGUUUCAAGGGGAUGGUAAGGAAGUGGGAUGUACUGAAGCUCUCACGCUUGAGCAAUACAAGUCCAGAAGGGUAAUGCGGGGAGUAUGUUUAUCAUGUAAACAGUGAAAUGUCUGUAAAAGGGGAAGUUUUAUGCAGUGAUGGGGAUGUGGGAAAUGAGAAACCACGAAUUAAUGAGAAACCCUACCGAGGUUAAAGUAAUUUACUGAUUAAUCUUGAUUUCACUUCUUUUGGUCAGAGUGGAAGGGAGAGACUCUUAGGCAAAUAUAAAAUACAUAGCAUUGCGUGAUAAAUCUUUUAUUGACAGGGAUCUGAGAUUAAUCAUGACUAAAAUUUAUCAGUACAAAUAUCUUAUGCUGUACCAUUGCACAAGGUAUUUUGGAUGUCCCACCUGGACAGCUGUUUCAUACACAUUUUUUGAAACAUUACUGGAAAUCCUCUCUUCUAUGUUUACCUGUAGGGCUUCAGUAGGGUAUUGAUUCUCCAGGGGAUUUUGGAGAAUCAAAAAAAAAAAAAAGUCACUAAAAAUACCAGUGCAGUAGUGGUGUGAUUAAAUGCAACCCAAAUUUCCAGUCUGAUUUCUUGGGACCUUCCAAGUAUAGUUACAAGGUUGUGUAGAAAGCUAGGAAUCUCCCCUUCACUUCUGCCCACAUCCAGCCUUCAAGGUCAUGUAUAAAAUUACUUCCCUCUGAUACCAGGAUUUAAUGUGAUUGUUUCUUUUUACCAAGGCAAGAUUUCUGAGGAUGAUUUCUCCAAUUUGAGGAAAUGCUGAGAAUAGCAGCAUGGUAGAAGAUAGCAUCAUUUUUAGGAAUGGAUAUGAGACACAAUUCCUCAAGUGUUUUUUAGUCAACCUCCUGGAAAUGGACAGUUGAUACAAUUUAUGAUAAAAUGCCCAUCACUGGGUAUAUAGACAUUGGGGUGAAAACUGUAGUUCAGAACUGUGCCAUUUGAGAGAGAGAGAGAGAGGAAGGACGGAAGGAAGGACGGAAGGAAGGACGGAAGGAAGGACGGAAGGACGGAAGGACGGAAGGACGGAAGGAAGGAAGGAAGGAAGGAAGGAAGGAAGGAAGGAAGGAAGGAAGGAAGGAAGGAAGGAAAAGAGCUUGCCACGAAAAUUGUUUUCUUUUUAUUUCCCAAAGUAAAAUUCUCAAAUUAGAGCAGCAUAUGCUGCCACAAAGCCUAUGUUAAAUGAUAGAUUAGUUACGGGAUGAAUAUCCAUUAUCUUAUGAAUCAUCUAGAAAGGAAUGGGUGUUUUAUAGGGAAGAGUUUAUAGGGAAGAGAAACUAGGAACUGCCCCACUGUGGUUUCCAAUUGGAAGCAGCCUUGUGCUCUAAUCCUGGCACAUUGUGAGAUGCCAGGCUGUUACCAUAUCAAUGCUAUUUUGAUGCUUUGCUUGAGCAAACUGGCCUUCUAAUCUGAUUGUCCUUCAUUCAUUAUAUUUUAUUAUAAACUGGUUUAGAAAAUGUCAAACUUAAUAUGCCAAGAGCAAUCAGCAUUUUUCUAGAUAUACCAAGAUAUUGGUAUGUACAAUUUCAAAUAGCAGGAGCUGGAUUCUCAUAAACAACUAUAAGCUGCAUUUCCAUUCCAUACAAAAUUUCAUAUAAAUUAACUUCCAUCUGCUUUAUCUGCCAUGUUUUUCAUGUUUCUUUCUCAUUCUAGUCCAUUUUUUUGUUCAUUGUAAGGACAAAUAAAAUAAAAGCUUUCAUUUAUAUAUCUAAGUAUAUAAUAUAUUUAAUUAAAUAAGCAUACAAUUUGGGGCCCCAUGGUUCUGAAGCAUGACUUAUAUUACCAUAGUUGUAGCAGACCUCUGGAAAGAUGAGUUAGAAGAAUUACCUGACAGCUUGAUUCACUAACACAAAUCACAGAAGGGAAAAACUUGUGGCAGUAAGAAGCCCUGAUGAGCUCCAGGAUAAAGAAGUGGGAAAGAAGUUUCCCCAGGAACUUUCACCUGAUCUUACCAGGGUAAGAAGUAAGAAUGCUUUCACAGAGAGAACUGGAAAAAGGGAAAGUGCAAAAAACAAGUCGCAACUCUUCCAGACUUCUGUAGAUGAAGAAAACAACCACCAUAUUAUUGUAUAAGGUGUGUAUCAGAGAACAGUUUGACACCAGAUUUGGCAUCCCACAGGCCAUCUUAGGGCCUUUCUAAUUGCCCUGUGGUUUAGCCAGCACUAUUAUGAUGCUGGAGCAUCUAAGCUAAAAUGAAAGUUAACCUGGCUAUUCCAUCUCCCAAAGGCAAAUUCUCCAUUUAAAUGUUUGGCCUUCAAGAUGAGAGCAAGGCAAAAUCCCCAUAUGUGUGAGUAGAUUUAUUUAUUCUGAAGGUAUCUUCUCAUGGAGAAAUCAGGGCAUAUUUAGCUCACACAUAAUUGCCAUGCAUACGUUGUCUCUAGUGUGCAGCUGGCUUGCAUUUGACCAGCUCAACACAAGGGAAAAAAGAAAAAUUGUUUGUUGCAUCUGUCCCUUUGGACUUGGCUCAGUUGCUUUUACUUGUUGCAAUGUAAGGUAAUUUUUGCAGUAUUACUGUAUAAAUAAGAUUGAAGGAAAUAAGAAAAUUUAGGAUUAUAUCAUGAAUGUUAUUCCUGUUGUGUGGUCACGGUACACUUGUAUUUUAUGACCAAAUUGUAAAUUCCUUGAAAUUACAAUGUCACUAUAAUCUGAAUGCACAAAGUAAUGCAUUAACAGUAUAGAAGCAUGUGAGAAAGAGACAAUAUAUCCACUCCAAUUGCAUCAUAGGAGAAAAAAUAAGCAUUUGGGAAAUAAAUUUUCUUCUACACACAAGAAGUAACAGAGGGGAAUUUUAAAAAUGAAGUGUCUGCACAGAUUGAAAGCAAAACUUUUAAAACUCUUCAGAACUCUAACAGAUGAGACAUGACCACAAUGUUAACAACUCCUAUCAAAUUCUAUGUCCAAAUAUUUUUAACUUUCCAGGUGAUACAGAUGCAUGGGUCUACUCCAGAGCAUCAGAGUUCACAGUGUUUCACGUCCAGCAGUGCAGUUCUGACUUCAUGUGUAUAAGCCAAGAGAGUACUUUCUGGAUGUAAAUCCUGCUUAGGUCAAGGUCAGGUCUGAGUUCAAAGAAGACUUAAGUUUCACUUCAGAUUUGUUUACUGUGAAACCUUGCCAGACCUCUAUUGUCCAUUAGGUCCUCUAUGUCUUUUAAUGCAACAGUUCAGUGAUUGUGAUUAAUUCACAGGAGCCCACAAGGAGCCUCUUGAUCAUGUUUUACCACGUAAUUGAAAAUAAAAUUGAGAGACUUGUUGUCUUCAAAUGAUGUUGAUGGAGAAGUGGUAUCCCUGGGACUCAUAAAAAUGUUCCUAUCUGUAUCACAUUUUGUAACAAUAAAAAAUCUGAUGGAGAAAACCCAUUUCCAUGUUCCAGCUCCUCCCUGCUAAUAUCUCCCAUUAUGCAAUGCUGUCAUUAUAGUUGCUGGGUCAUAUUAACCUAAAAUCUCUGAUAAUCCCUCUACCUAGGAUGAGAGAGAGCUAAUUACUUCUCAAGACUUCUGAAGAGAAGUUCAGAAGACUUAAGCAGAACAUUUAGAUCUGUGAAAAUUUAUAAACAUUUUUCAUACGGCAGGUCUUUUGUAGACCCCUUGAUAAAUAGUCAGCAGUGUGAUGGCUACAAUAUUAAAGCCUCAUUUCUAGAGAUAUUUCUACCAUCAGAUCAAAGCAUCACAAUAUUUCACCUGGUAUCAAACUGAAAGCAGAUUCUGUUUUCAUUAAGGGCUGAAACAAAAAUGCACGGCACCUGAACCCAACAGGCUCACUCACCUUCAGCAUUUUGCAUGUGAUCCCCUCACUGCAGAGUGCUUGUGGGUUUUGCCUCUCCCCCCCCCCCCCAAAACCCGCUGUGCAGAGGUACAUCCAGCAGAGCUGUAUGCAUGGAUGUGUCGUCAAUAGUACCAUUCAUAUGGUAGCUCUCCACGUUAGUCAUCUGUCAGGGUGAGGUCCUUUUGCUCCACUUCAAACGUUCCUGAAAUCCAGAGGGGGUCUGAUUUCAUGGGUCCAGAAGAGGUUUCUCACAAAAACAGAGACAUUUUCAAGAUAUUCAGAACCACAAAUCCAGCCCCCAUUGAAUUUCAGUUUCCCUUACAGGUCGUUAUUGUUUUCACCACUUUAUGGCAGUACUGGCCAAAAUCAAUCUUUUACAGCUCCACUUCCUACUCAUACUAAAAGAAAAAGGUUGGGGCACUUAAUUAGAGCUAUUUAUAUUUUCAAAAUGAGGAAGACAUUCUGAAAAAGAAAUUGUUUUUGCAGCCAAUUCAGGGACCUUCUGUCUACAAAAUCUGCUCUAGACACUUUCCCACCACAACUUUCUUUCCAUUAUUAGGAACUUACACCAUGUUGUAUUUAGCUUGGUAUUUUGCCAGAAAAUGUUCUUUAGGUCUCUAUAGUACAAAAUCUGACAGAAAGCAUAACAGAGGGGAAAAAAAAAGAAAAAGAAAAAAAAAAAAAAAGGUAUUUUUAAGUCCCUACUUUUUUCCAUUUUCCCAUCAGAAAAAUUUUUUAAAAAAAUAUUAUUAAUAUAAAUCCAUCUCUGUUCCAGUUUUUGCUCUGGUUAUUUAUACCCUUUAAAUAUGAUCCAUGUAGAGAAGUCCAAAGUUAUUAAAUCUGUUCAGAUAGUCCUUCAAUCUAUUCAGGAGCUGAGUGUACCUGGCACAAGUACCGAGUAUUUCCUUUUGGUUUCUGAGCUAGAAGCAAGACUUGAAGUAAAUGAUUUUCUGCUAUGAUAAUGAUGAUACUACCAGACGUCCUGAGUGGAAAAGGCCAGGGAGGUUCGGAAUCUGACUCACGUUCUGAUAUUGUCUCUUUCUUUUUUAACCUAGGAAAACUCAGCUCAGAUUCCGUCUGUGGUUUUCAGCAAGAAUACUGCUUUUCCCUUCUUCCCGCACAAUUUUCCAGCCAGAUUGACUGAACUACAGAAAGGUCAAAUGACUUGCUUGGAGGGCUUCUUGGAUGAAACAUGAAGAAGAAAGGCCUUUAAAACAUUGUCCUUUGUGUGGAAAGACAUUGCUGAUUCCUCCAGCUGAUCUGCUGCCUUUGCAGAUGAUUUCUGGCUGUCAAGUGGCAAUCAGUUGAGGUCUGAGGGGAUGAGGAGAACUGUGACGUGACCACAGAAAGCCAAGCAGAGUUUCACUGUGGGAAUGUCUCCUCUGUCUCUUCCUCUCUGCCCGUCCCAUCCUUCUGCUGAAACUCACCGAGCUGGACUCUGACCAGCCAGCGGAAAGCACCCUGCAUCACUUCUGCUUCAUGUGCCUCCGACGGACCGCGUGACCGGUCAGACCACACCAUCUGGUGAAGGAAGGCAGAAAACGAGGAACUCGAUGACGGUGCAUGACAGAACCAGUGCGCUGAACCAGUGACGUCCCCGCGGGUCUCGGGGAACCCAUGAGAAAAGGUUUUUGUAACAUUACCCUGUUGCCUGAAUCCGGGCUGCUGCUGACUGACUGCCAGCUCCCAGAUUAAAUAAUCAGGCCACGGUUACGAGUCCCCAUGCAAGCAGCCACCUCCAACUCAGGAAUCAGCAGUGGCCAGCCAUGAGGUCCAUUGUAAAGCCAUCUCCUUCCAUGUACAGUUGCUUCUUUGCUGCAUAAGUAUUAUUUGCUAAUUUUAGAAACUGUAGGCUGUUUUAUUGCUGGAUCAGUGGGACCUCAAGAAUUUCUCAAACUGAAGUCACCUAUAGUAACCAUCACACUUUCUUCUUUCCUGCAUGAAAGAUGGCUCCUGAAAGAAGGAGUCAGAAUUUUCUUUUCCUUGUCUGAGUCAUCUUGAGAGCUCCCCAUACUUCCUCUCUCGGGUUUCUCAUAGGAGACCAGCAUCACCCAAAAUCAGCAUCCCCUGCUCUGAGCGAGUCUCAAGUGAUCAGCACCCAGGGCAGCCAGGACACAUCCAUCUUGACACUUCUUCCAUGCCUGGUGAGACCACAGCAUCAUGGUGUUGGAGGGUUUUCAGCACAGCCAGGCUCAUAGUAUUAUUUUUACUCUUAUUUCCCGUUGCCAGUUACCUACAUUCCCAGAAUUAAUGUGUGGAGAUCUGAAUAAAUAAAUAAAUUAAUUAAUUAAUUAAAUGUUUAUUCUUUGACUUCUUCACCAGAUCAGUUUGCCUUGGUUUUGUCACACUGAAUUUAAGAUUCCUCCCUGCUUGCCUUGACUUACUAAUUUAAAAUCAACCAGAAAAUACACCUGGGAUGAUCCCAGCCUGGUGGUCUGAAGUGCAGGGCACCUGGGUGUUUGACAACACCAGUGCUGCCAGAUUCACACCCGCCAACAUGGUCCUGGUAUUUUCUGCCACCUCCAAGCUCCUGCUCAGAGAAGCAGGGGUCUCUAUCACUUGGGACUUUUCUUCUUCAUUCCUACUACCAUCAUUCCUACAUGCUGCUACCUGCUCGGGAUACCUUUAAUACCAAUAGCUUCAAUACUUUGAAUACACAUCAAAAUACCAUGGAUGAAAUUUUUUGGAGUUUUUUUUUCUGUUUGUUGUUGUUGUUAGUAGUGGUGGUUUUUUGUUUUGGUUUGGUUUGGUUUGGUUUUUAAGUUACCAAUUUAUUGGGACUGUGAAGAUUCACAAUAGCAAAAACACAGGCGACUUUUGUGGCCUAUCAAACAUAAAUUGGCUGAACAGCCAAGUGGUUUGCUAUAAAGUACAUUUCUAAAUGAAUAGCUUUGUACAUCAACCUUCCAAGCUGUUGUGAAAGUCCUGUUGUGUACCAACCAUCAGCAUUUUAACAUCUUUAGAAAUCAUGCCCUACAGGUUAGCUUCAGUUUAGGCUUUUUGCUAGCAUGGUGAUCCCCACGCUACAGCAGUGCAGAUGCUUAAACUAAUCCAGCUGUGGAAUAAGAGUCUGCUUUGCAAUUCUUUAUUUAUUUUUUUUAACAACCAUUUCUAGCCAAAUAAGACUAUAACUUAAUUGCAUGAGUUUAUAAGUGAAAGGAAAACAUAAACAUGUUUUGUUUCAAUAUAGCAUAACCAACUAUUUAACUGAUUUUUAGAUCCAUGUAGGCAUUUCUGCCAUGAAUACUUUAUAAUCACAACUGAAAUUGCUGAUGACUUUUUUCUGCAGU